rnacentral:lncRNA from 1 species
AAAGGGUUGAUAGAAAGCCAGCUAGAAACUGGUGGCUACUUUCUUGGGUGAGAGAGCUCAACAAGAAAGAGUCGCACUGUGAUUCUGUGUUAGACUGUUGAGUGUUUACAAGGAUCAGAGGGUGAUCAAUAGGAAAGAGAUCAUUAAGAUAGAUAGGUUUCGGGGAUGAAACUGGACAAUCUGUAAUUGAUUCUUUCUAUUGGAGAAGAAAAUAUGAAAUCCGAUUGGAUUGUCAGGACUGGACGUAGGUUGUCACGUUGACAACUGAACCAGGAUAAAUUCUUGGUGCAAUCUUCU